rnacentral:sRNA from 1 species
UUUACAACUCGGGAGAACCAAGCCCUUUAUUGAGCCGCAGAACUGGAAGAGCCAGCUGAUGGCAUUGCAGGAUUCUCCCACACUGCCCACUUCCUUAACCCUGUUCUGGAUGGACCACUUCUAGGGAUGAGAGGUUAGUUCCAUCACGGUGACCCUUUCAAAUCUUUAGCCUCA